UGAGGAAUAUUGGUCAAUGGGCGCAAGCCUGAACCAGCCAAGUCGCGUGAGGGAAGACGGUCCUAUGGAUUGUAAACCUCUUUUGUUCGGGGAGCAAAGCGCGGUACGAGUACCGCGAAGGAGAGUACCCGAAGAAAAAGCAUCGGCUAACUCCGUGCC
rnacentral:rRNA from 1 species